GUUUCAAGUUCUUAUCAAGGACCAGGAGUUUAAACAGAACAUUGCAGAUGCAAGAAGAAUAGCAAAAGAAUGUUUAAGUCUGAACUGAAUAUGUUUCAAGUUCUUAUCAGGGACCAAGAGUUUAAACAGAACAUUGCAGAUGCAAGAAGAAUAGCAAAAUAAUGUUUAAGUCUGGAUUUCAAUGACUACCGUUCACAGGCUGAGUUGAAGUCAGAUAGGAAGUCCGAGUCCACUGACGAGUCAGAUGGAGACAAGUUGUUGAGAGCAACAGCCAUCUUGCAGGAAAUCCUUCAAUUCAAAAUAUAGUUUGUACAUAGAUAUUGUCUUUAUAAAAAUGCUUAACAAUAGGAAUUGAAUUCUGUUUAUUUACAUUGUAUUCAAAUUACAGAAAUUGCUUUGACAUCAAACAAUACAGUAUCAGUGACUUAUUCUGUUUAGUAAACUUUUCUAUC